UUUGUCACAGCAGCCAGACAAUGAAAUAAUAUAAGCACUAUGCCAGUUGAUGUCUGGUGAGGCACACAGCCCUUGUUCUCUGCUUUCCUGGCCAACAAGGAUCGAGAGGGAUGAGUAUGAAGAAGGCUACAGAGCAUGUCUGGAGCUUGCUUAAGACACAAACCUGAGCCCUAGCAGGUGUGGAGUGCUACCAUUUACUCCCACAAGUUGGACCUGGCACAGCUGGAGUUGUAUUUGCAUGCUCAAGCCUUGAGCAUGUCCCCCUUUCUUGGAAAAUAUUCUUGGUUAGACCUUGAACUUGGACUACACUUCAUGAUCCCUCUAAGAAAUGACUUUGCCCCUAGAUAGAAAGCUUUUACAGUUAUAGAGGAUCUUUUUGACAUAGUUUCUACCCACCUGGAGACUGUAUAACUUGAAUGGCCCAGGUGUCAGUAGUGGAAGACCAUAUCGUUAAGGGCCUUGGAGAAGACAGCUCUUGGGGGUGGCACUAGCUUAUGGGAUGCCUUUCCUCUGUCCUCCAUAGUUGGGUCAUUAAGAUCUGCUUACCACAGGACUCGAUAACCUAGCCUCGGUUUACUGAUCUGAAAAGUCGUUCUAAGAAUAUUAAUUAUCUUUGUAGGCAGGCAGGAAGAUUGGGUGUGUUCAUUUAUGUGAAGAGCAUGGAGUAUCACCUGUCUCAGAGGCAGCUUUUUGUCAGUACCGGCACAUCCAGGAGCUCAGAGUGCCCAGCCCACUAAGUUCUGGAGUGAAGCAGCAGUUAGGCCAGUUCUUGGAAAUCUGCAUGUGUUGGAGAAAUGAAGUGGCAGGAUAUCCUGAAGGAGAGUGCUCCCCCUCUCUGAUGCCCUUGGAAAUUAGGUUUGCAGACUCUCUCAUCAGCAUUAAUGUAUUCUGAGCCCCCAUCCUUGGGUCAUGGGCACCACUUCUGACAUUCCUACAACUGGUCUAGAUAUCAUUGUCUCCUUUGACUACUGCAUCCAUCAUCACUCAGGGAGUGAUAUUCAAGUGAGGAACACAUCCU
rnacentral:lncRNA from 1 species